GGCGCAUCCCAUCUGGUGCCAGCAGGCCCGGUGGUAGGUGAUUGUAAUGGGUAAAGUCUUGUUUGUUCAUUAAAUGUUGCUGAUGGGGGGUUUCAACGGUUGACUGCUUAUAUCCCCAAUAUCCUGUUGAAGGAAAAAAACAAGUAUGGGAACUUCCUGUUAACAAUUGCAGUAGAAACCAGC